UCAAUUAUUUAUAGCCUCUGGCUAUAGGAAAUUGUUAGUGGCAGACGGGUGAGUAAUGCGUAGGAAUCUACCUAGUAGUACGGAAUAGCCAUUAGAAAUGGUGGGUAAUACUGUAUAAUCCCCGAGGGGGAAAGAUUUAUCGCUAUUAGAUGAGCCUACGUUAGAUUAGCUAGUUGGUGAGGUAAUGGCUUACCAAGGCUAUGAUCUAUAGCUGGUCUGAGAGGACGAUCAGCCACACUGGAACUGAGAUACGGUCCAGACUCCUACGGGAGGCAGCAGUGGGGAAUAUUGGACAAUGGGCGAAAGCCUGAUCCAGCUAUGCCGCGUGAGUGAAGAAGGCCUUCGGGUUGUAAAACUCUUUCAAUAGGGAAGAUAAUGACGGUACCUAUAGAAGAAGUCCCGGCAAA
rnacentral:rRNA from 1 species